rnacentral:lncRNA from 1 species
UGCUAAAGAAUGCGAGUUCGAACUACAAUUCCCAAGAGGCAUCGCUAUGCGAGAGUCACACCGGGGGUUGGUUUUAGCAGCCCCAGGCACCGCAGUGGCCAGACACGUGUCCAGGACCCAUAAAGCAGCCAGCUGCCUAAGGUUUGGAGGGUGCCUACGAACUCUCAGAGCGACAUAAACCAGUAUACGGGGCACCAAAGGCUCAGAAUGGAGAAGCAGAAUUGCUGGGCACAGAGUCAGGACGCCAGGGUUCAAAUUCCAGCGCCGUGGCUAUCUCAUGACUCACAGUACGUCCAUUCCCCUCUCUUCACAAACAACCAGGUGUUCACACAUAGCCAAGAAAUAGAACAGAGUUUGAAAGUUCUCCACGGUACGGUAGGAGCACUUACCUCUGGUGUACUCUGAAGGAGUUCAGACCUGGUUGAGUCCAUAACUUCUGCACAGUUCCACAUCGAAGGAGACGAGUCUAUUGAGCAUGCAGUCGCUGUCCACAUUGGAUAGUUUCCACACCAGCUAUAUACCAAAAGAACCAAAAGUUGAAAAGCCUUGCAGAUCAGCCAUUUACCUGGGUCUUCAGUAAAGGAAAGUAGGUGUCUUUUCUGUAUGCUAUCCUGUAUGCUUAAGACCAGGAUUGCCAGGAAAAAAAAGUUUUUAGAGAUGGAGACUAGAGAAUUCAGUGAGACAUCUCAAAGGAUGGGAAUAGAAAGGAAGAGACAUCCCCACC